rnacentral:lncRNA from 1 species
AUUUAGCAUUUUUAAGAGAAAUUAUCAUUUUCAAUAGUUAGAGAAAGACGCCAAACCAGUUGGUCAAUUUUAAAUAUGUAUAUAUCUUUUUCAAGUUAAUAUUUUGAAAGUUUUAUUAAUUUCAAACAUAUUAAGUAUUUUUGUAAAUGAACACUAGUUGCCAAAACUAGACUAAAAUGAACACGCUUCAUCAGGAGUAAUUUUUAUAUGGGAGACAACUCCAGUUUUACCGCGACAAUUUCAUGAGCAAGUAAUAUGUCUCAAUUUACAGUUUACCCAUUAUUUGUAAACAAUGGUAGGUGUAAGAACAUUAUUAUUCAAAGCAUUUUGCAUUAGUUCUCAUGGUCGUUAGGUAACAGAAAGCUCUUAGAAGCUAGUAAACUGAUGUUCUCUAUUUAUCCCAUUGCAAAGCCCAGUGUUACUUGUUUUUUUCUUAUUUCAUAAGAUUCCCGGUUUGUUUACAUAGUUUUCUGGUUCAAAGUAAAUGCGUUUAUUGAACUUCAUUUAUUGUGUUAUAUGC